rnacentral:rRNA from 1 species
AUUGAACGCUGGCGGCAGGCCUAACACAUGCAAGUCGAGCGGAUGAGAGGAGCUUGCUUCUCGAUUCAGCGGCGGACGGGUGAGUAAUGCCUAGGAAUCUGCCUGGUAGUGGGGGACAACGUUUCGAAAGGAACGCUAAUACCGCAUACGUCCUACGGGAGAAAGCAGGGGACCUUCGGGCCUUGCGCUAUCAGAUGAGCCUAGGUCGGAUUAGCUAGUUGGUGAGGUAAUGGCUCACCAAGGCGACGAUCCGCAACUGGUCUGAGAGGAUGAUCAGUCACACUGGAACUGAGAAACGGUCCAGACUCCUACGGGAGGCAGCAGUGGGGAAUAUUGGACAAUGGGCGAAAGCCUGAUCCAGCCAUGCCGCGUGUGUGAAGAAGGUCUUCGGAUUGUAAAGCACUUUAAGUUGGGAGGAAGGGUUGUAGAUUAAUACUCUACAAUUUUGACGUUACCGACAGAAUAAGCACCGGCUAACUCUGUGCCAGCCGCCGCCGUAACAC